rnacentral:rRNA from 1 species
GAUGAACGCUAGCUACAGGCUUAACACAUGCAAGUCGAGGGGCAGCAUUAUCGAAGCUUGCUUUGAUAGAUGGCGACCGGCGCACGGGUGAGUAACGCGUAUCCAACCUUCCCCAUAGUCAGGAAUAGCCCGGCGAAAGUCGAAUUAAUGCCUGAUGUUUUCCACGGACGGCAUCUGAUGUGGAACAAAGAUUCAUCGCUAUGGGAUGGGGAUGCGUCUGAUUAGCUUGUUGGCGGGGUAACGGCCCACCAAGGCAACGAUCAGUAGGGGUUCUGAGAGGAAGGUCCCCCCACAUUGGAACUGAGACACGGUCCAAACUCCUACGGGAGGCAGCAGUGAGGAAUAUUGGUCAAUGGGCGAGAGCCUGAACCAGCCAAGUAGCGUGCAGGACGACGGCCCCUAUGGGUUGUAAACUGCUUUUAUAAGGGAAUAAAGUGAGUCUCGUGAGACUUUUUGCAUGUACCUUAUGAAUAAGGACCGGCUAAUUCCGUGCCAG